CCAAUAGCGUAUAUUAAAGUUGUUGCAGUUAAAAAGCUCGUAGUUGAAUUUCGAGACCGGUCUACUGGUCGUGCUUUUGUACGUACUGGUUUUAUUGGUUUCUCCUUUCUGACGAACUAUAAUGCCAUUAAUUUGGUGUUAUAGGGAAUCAGGACUGUUACUUUGAAAAAAUUAGAGUGUUUAAAGCAGGCUCACGCUUGAAUACAUUAGCAUGGAAUAACGAAAUAGGACGUUUGAUUUUAUUUUGUUGGUUUCUAGGAUCGACGUAAUGAUUAAUAGGGAUAGUUGGGGGCAUUAGUAUUCAAUUGUCAGAGGUGAAAUUCUUGGAUUUAUUGAAGACUAACUACUGCGAAAGCAUUUGCCAAGGAUGUUUUCAUUAAUCAAGAACGAAAGUUAGGGGAUCGAAGACGAUCAGAUACCGUCGUAGUCUUAACCAUAAACUAUGCCGACUAGGGAUCGGAUGAUGUUAAUUUUUUAAUGACUCAUUCGGCGCCUUACG
rnacentral:rRNA from 1 species